UCUCCGUAGGUGAACCUGCUGAGGGAUCAUUACUGAGUGAGGGUUUAACCGCCCGACCUCCAACCCUUUGUGAACUACAACUCUGUUGCUUCGGGGGCGACCCCGCCGUUUCGGCGGUGGCGCUCCCGGUGGCCAAUUAUUAAACUCUGCGUCUCUUGCGUCGGAGUCGUAAAGAAAGUUAAACAAAACUUUCAACAACGGAUCUCUUGGUUCUGGCAUCGAUGAAGAACGCAGC
rnacentral:misc_RNA from 1 species